AUCCAACUGAUGAGUCUCAAAUAGGACAAAACUCGAGUCCUAGAU
rnacentral:hammerhead_ribozyme from 1 species